CCGAGUGCAGAGCCAGGGCCCAGCACGAAGGCCUUGGGCUCCAGUCCGUGUGCCCCACAUCCCUACAUGAGUGAGGGUGGAGGGAUGGUGCCUCUGCCACGGCCACGGUGCCGCCGUCCACGUCAGCUCACUCUCAGCACAGGUGCUGUGUGACGGCCUCGGGCCACACCGCUUGUUCUGAGGCCCCUAGCAGGUCGGGCUUGUGCUGGCUGCACAUUGGCUGGUGAGCUUGGCGGGUCUGUGGGCACGGAGAGACCAGAACGUGCGUAACAGGCCCGAUGAGGGUGCCAGGCUGUGGCGACCCCCGAGCUUCAGAGGAGAGGGGCACCAGCCGGGGGCCCUGCACAGGCAGCCUCAGAGAGAGGAAAGCUCACGAUCUGGGAGAACUCCAGGCCUGGCCCAGUGAAGACGUCCUUAUCUUCAGCAGACAUUGCCCAGUGCAAGGGGAGGGAUUUUUAGGGCGGCAAGCUCAGGUGGACAGGCAGUUUUAUUCUGUUUCCCAUGUCAAGUCCAGCCCCAGACUGACUUUCUGAGGUCACAGACGGAGCCUCACCCCAUCCAAGGCGGUGUCCUGGACUCCCACUGUGCUCCCCAGAGGGCAGGGUACCUGGGGCCCAGCCCGGGCGGCAGGAGGGACUCAGCCCCUCGCCCAGGCAGGAAGGGUCCCAAGCAGAGGCCCCUCCCUCAGGCACUCCCCAGCCCACACCUGCAGCACUGGGACCAAGACUAAUAAAACACCAGCCUCACGGAAGACAGCUUUAUCUUGUUGAUCGGAAGUCUGCCAGCCCAAUUUAUGAUGGAACAUAAGAUCUCUAAAUCUGAAUUUACGCUCUGUAGCGUAACGAGAGGUCAAUAAGAUUAAACGGGGGCUCAGGAGAGGACCAGCGUCAGGCUCACUGCGAGGUGCUGCACAGAAAACCCACAGCCAGAGCCCCUGGGCCCAGCCCAGGCAAGACCAGAAAAGGAGGGGGCAGGUGGGAGACCAGCCUGGGGCUCCCGGGAAGCCCACGGGAUGGAGGCGGGAGAGCCAGGAGGCCUGGGGCAACCCUGGGACGGUUCCUGGAUCGAGGAGAGCAGGGGGGUGAUGAGGGUUCCCUCAGGGCUGGGGAGCCUUCUCCUGGUCUCAGACCCACCCCCCUUCAGCUCCCAAGCCCUGGGUGCCCCUGGCUCUGAGGACAGUUGGGAAUCUUCCCUGAGGCAGGUUCAAGGACAGAGCUCUGACCCUGGCCCAGGGCUGCUUUGGGUGCCUAUGAACUCGGCUUCUGGCUCAGAGCAGUUCCCUGCACCCCUUCCUGAGCCCUCUGUCCUCUGGAACCCGUGGGCAGGGUGAGGGACGGGUGUUCCUUCUGGGUGGGGGCCUGGGCGCCCAGCCAGCACGACGCUGGCUUGCUGAGCUUAGGGCAGACCCCGACUUCAGAAUUUAUACAAAUAAAUGCAAUGAAAAGUGCUGGCAACCUGAUCUGAUUACAGAGUCAUUCAUUCUCUGGUCGUUAAUAAUUUGUGCAA